UUUAUUAUUAUUUUUUUUGUUUUUUUCUGUGGAAUAAAAGUGCGGAAUUUAGAGAAGAAAGGCAUUCAGAUUAAAGAAGAGAGGAACUGAAAACAGUAUUGGCACAGAUUCCUUAGGAUGAUAUUUCCAAGGAAAAAUUACUUUUUAGUCCCUAUAUUUUAACAAAACUAACUAUUUGAUCCCUGUAUUUUGAAAAAUACACUAUAUAGUUCAUGUAUUUUGCUUCUGUUAAACUAUUAAGGCUCUCUGUUAAAUUUUCUGUUAGUUAAUGCAUGUCAAAUUAUUGUUUAUAUCUUUAUUUUAGUGAAAUUAAUUAGUUAGUUAGUCUUUAUAUUUUGAAAAAACACAUUAGUUAGUCUCUGU
rnacentral:misc_RNA from 1 species